AAUUGGAGGGCAAGUCUGGUGCCAGCAGCCGCGGUAAUUCCAGCUCCAAUAGCGUAUAUUAAAGUUGUUGCAGUUAAAAAGCUCGUAGUUGAAUUUCGGGAUCAAUAUUUCGGUCAUGCCGUUGGUAUGCACUGUUAUCAUUGAUUUCUCACCUUCUAAAGAACCGUAAUGCCAUUAAUUUGGUGUUACGGGGAAUUAGGACUGUUACCUUGAAAAAAUUAGAGUGUUUAAAGCAGGCUCACGCUUGAAUACAUUAGCAUGGAAUAAUGAAAUAGGACAUCCGAUUCUAUUUUGUUGGUUUCUAGGAUCGAUGUAAUGAUUAAUAGGGAUAGUUGGGGGCAUUAGUAUUCAAUUGUCAGAGGUGAAAUUCUUGGAUUUAUUGAAGACUAACUACUGCGAAAGCAUUUGCCAAGGAUGUUUUCAUUAAUCAAGAACGAAAGUUAGGGGAUCGAAGACGAUCAGAUACCGUCGUAGUCUUAACCAUAAACUAUGCCGACUAGGGAUCGGAUGAUGUUAAUUUUUUAACGACUCAUUCGGCGCCUUACGGGAAACCAAAGUGU
rnacentral:rRNA from 1 species